GCAGGGGUAGCGAAGCGGUCAAACGCACUGGCCUUAGAAGCCAGCGGCUCAGUGCCUUCGCAGGUUCGAAUCCUGCCCCCUGCA
rnacentral:tRNA from 1 species